GUGUUAUAUGAAAGGAGAGAAGGUUAGCACUCCCCUUGACAAGGAUGGAAGAGGCCCUCAGGCCUGACAACACACAUACAUUAAGGCAUUGCCACCUACUCAGAGAUGUGGAGAGGGUCAUCCU
rnacentral:ncRNA from 1 species